GCCUGUAUUCCCAGUGCCCAUGUUAUUCUGUCAGUGAGACAGCCGAUGUCUGGAAACAAGAUGCGUGCUCAGGAUCAGUUCCUGAAAGUUAUGUUCGACCUUGAGAAGGUUCCACUUCAACCAGCUUUAUGCAAGAUAUCGUGGCAAAGGGAGUACAAUUGCGCCGAGUCCCGGAUGCGGCUCCCUUAUAUGGAAUCCAAAACCUGCAAGAUCCGACGCUGGAUGAAAACAAUAUUGAGAUGUGGACAAAAUUAACUGGAAAUGAAUGUUAUUGAGGUUAAUAAUAUUACUGUAGGAACAAAAACACCCCCAAAUUCUGUGAUUUUAGCUGUUUUUUGUUUUUUUUUCAUUUAAAAAACAAAUACAGAUCCAAAACAAGAACCCAAAACCUGAGAUCUGGGCCGGCGCACAACCCUUAUAUAUAUGUAUUUAUUUAUUAACAGUUUCUUAUAUAGCACAGCAAAUUCCAUUGUCCUAGACUUCUGUUGCCGGCCCUACAUGUACACUUACACACUAGGGUUACUUUUGUUGGGAGCCAAUUAACCUACCAGUAUAUUUUUGGAUUGUGGGAGGAAACCGGAGUACCCGGAGGAAACCCACGCAAGUACGGGGAGAAUAUACAAACUCCACACAGAUAGGGCCAUGACCUCUGUGCUGUGAGGCACUGUGCUGACCAUUACAUCGUCCU